UUGCAACCCCGCCACAUCCGCCGCGAGACGGAGCCGGAAAGCCACGGGUCUUGGGAAGUAAGACAGCCGGGUUACCUUC
rnacentral:ncRNA from 1 species